UACCUUACGAGCGAUUACACAGCGCAGGGC
rnacentral:sRNA from 1 species